UUUUUAGUAAUGUUCCCAACGAAGAUAGAAGCAGCAGAUUGUAAUGGUGCAUGUUCACCUUUCGAGAUGCCACCGUGCCGCUCAAGUGAUUGUCGUUGUGUCCCUAUUGCACUAUUUGUUGGUUUCUGCAUACAUCCAACUGGACUUUCAUCUGUUGCGAAGAUGAUCGACGAACAUCCCAACUUAUGUCAAUCUGAUGAUGAAUGCAUGAAGAAAGGAAGUGGCAAUUUUUGUGCUCGUUACCCUAAUAAUUAUAUCGAUUAUGGAUGGUGUUUUGACUCUGAUUCUGAAGCACUGAAAGGCUUCUUGGCCAUGCCUAGGGCAAUCACCAAGUAAUAUGGUGGGUAUGCCAAAGUGGCCAUGCUUGAUGCAUCUUCUACUACUUAAAAAUAAAAGCUUAUGAUGCAUCUACUGCUUUAAACAAAAGAGAGCUUCACUACGCAACUUUUGUUUCCAACUUAUAGUUGGUUACGUUUUAUGUAAACUCAAUCUAUGUAUGUUUUGGAGCAUUCCAGGUAAUAAAAAAUGUUUCUAUACAUAUGUCUGUUGUUUUAAAACAAAUUUAAGAAAAGAGAAAGACAAAUAGUUAUCAACUGACAUAAAGAAAAAAAAAAUGGUUCAUUGGUGGAUCAAUUUUAUAAUCUUAUAAUAUUAUAAUAAGCGAGUAUUUAAAUUAAGACUAAACCUUAGCGUAUGACCAAGAUCCAACAGAAUCAUGAAUCACUAAAUUCUGGCAAUUAUCAAUUCAGUCAGAUUCGGGGAACAAGAUACAUCAGUCAAGUAUGUCUUAUGUACUUAGAACAUGUUUAAGUAAACUAUUUUAGAAGUAUUUCUAAAAAAAGAAAAUAAAAAAAUUAAAAUAAAUUUUUUCAUAAGUGAAACAUAACUCAAUAAUAAUUUAAAAGAGAUAUUCAGUCAAAGAUUAUAUGUGACAAAAUUAGUUGAAGAAUCCGUUCAAAGCUGUUUAAAAAUUAAAAAUUAGUUGUUAAAGUAAAAGCUGAAAAGUUAAAAAAUUAACUUAUUAUGUUAAAGUGUUUGAUAAAAUUAACUAUUAAAAUUGAUGAAAGUGUAAAAUAGCAGAAAAAUUUAAUAGCAAGAUUUAUUUAAAAAUUAAAACUAGAAAAUGAAUAAAUAUAUGAAGAAUAAAUGUGAAAAAAUAUAAAAAUUAGUGUCUUAAAAAAUGUUUUUAAAAAAUAUUUAUUGAUUAAUUAAAUGAUUUUUUCAACUACUAAUAAAAAAUUAAAUGCUAACAUAAAUAUCUUAAUUUUUUUAAUUAUUAGUUUAUUUGCAUACUUAUUCUCCAAUUCCCAUUGUGGUAAGUAAAAUAGUAAGAUUCAAUAAUUUAAUUAAAAAUAAUUAUUGGUAUAAAAAUUAAGAUAAUUAUUAUAAAAUUAAUAAAUUAAUCACACGACAGUCUAUAUAGAUAAUAUUAUAUAACAAUACAUAUAUUAUUCAUUUUUAAUUUUCUUUCCCAAAAUAAAAUCGGGUGAUUCUACUAGGAAUUGGUAUUCUAUUCCAUUAAACUUACCUAUUCAUUUAAAAAGAAAAUGAGUAAUUUUAAUAAUUGAUAUUACAUGCACAUAAAAAUUAUAAACAUGUUGGAAUAUUAAUUAUUAAUUUAUCGUUAACUUAUUAAAUGAAGAGUACCAUUUCUUUUUCCAAAACAAUAAAAUGGAAGAAAUGAAGAGGAUAUUUUUUCCUAAUUCUAAGGGGGAGGCCAAAACAUAUUAUUCGCCUAAGAAAUAGGUUUCAGUGGCGAUGGUUUUUGUUAAAAAAAAAAGUUUACUUCAUAUAUACAUAAGCACUGAAGCCUUCUAUCCACAUGAGUCGUUGGUUUUAAUAAUUUUAAUUUCCUGUGAAGACUUAGCUUUUUUGUUCCUCACGUUAAGCAUAAAAAAUGACUGCGUGGUCAAUGGAUGCCGAAGGGGAAUCUUAGUGCAAGGGCACAGAGUUCUUACUUUGUGUGCUAGAGAGUAAAGGGGUAACAUGGUAACUUGCUUCAACAGUCCAAAAUUCUAAUCCUUUCUCACCAAUUGAGAGAGGAAGUACUGUGCUGAAGCACCAACAAAAAAUUCAAAUAUUUUGUCAUAACUUCUCCCAUCUCAGACCAAUGAAUUUUUCAAAGUUCAUAACUUCUGCGCUUUUCUACUCUCAUCAACAAAAUUUCACACCUCCCAAACCAAUGCCUCACGUAGAUGGAAGGCUUUGGUACUUAAGUAUAUAUGAAGCAAACUAUUAUCAACAAAAAACAUCGCGACUUGAGACCCAUUUGUUAUGGGGACUGAAUGAAAAUAAUAUACUUUUAUCAUAAAUAUUUUUAGCCACUUUAAUUUAAAUAUAUUUUAUAACAAAUAAUUUUUAUUUUUAUUCAUUUCUCGCCUACUUUUUUCUUACUCGCCUAUUUUUUCGUUUUCUAUUAAGAAGUGCAAGAGAAAUCUUUUUGUUUUUUAAGAUAAGAGAAAUUGUAACCCAUAACGCCAAGAGGCACCCACAACCGAUCCCACAUCUCCCUUUGCGAGUUUGUGUGCAAAAUGUUGCCAUUGGCAUUGAAUCUUUCUUGUUGCUCCCUAGUGCACUUUAAGUUGAUUGAUACAAACUAGAUUUGAAUCAAACCCAAACAUGAUUCGGGAUUAUUUUUUUUUGGGUUUGUGCCUAGGAUGAAGGGUUCUCGAGUUGUUGAAGUUAUUCAAUACUUGAUCUUAUUCUUCUUCUAGCUCCUUUUAAUUGGUUGCUGUUCAAUAUUUGUUCCGUAAUGUUGGCCUUUGGAUUGCCCAACUUUUAAUUCAUGUUCAAUUUAUUAUUCCCCUCCAACUAAAGGAAAAAAUUUUGAGGAAAAAAAAUAUUGGUAUUAACGGUGAUGUUUAAUGUAUAACCAUUAAAUUCAUAAAUAAAUAAAUAUUAUUGUAAAAGAAAAUUUUACCACGUAGAAAAAAGUUCUGUAAUAACAUAAUAUUUAAUUCUUUUUAGACAAAAUGUUGCUAAAUUUUUUAUUUUAUUUUUAUUAUUCAUGAAAUUAUAAUUAUAGUAUUUAAGAAAAUUAAAAGAGGUAUAUAUUCUGAUUAAAUAAAUCAAUUAAGUUAUUAAAAUCUUAUAUGAAUUUUGAUUUUAUAUAAUAUGUUAAUAAAAAAAAUUACAUUUUUGGAAUAAUUUUAUGGUAAUCAAUUAUGGUAUAUGUUCUUUAACAUGAUAUAUUAAAUAAAUGACAUUGAUUUUCUUUCAAUUUAAUUGCAUGAGUGAAAUUUUUAAUUUUUCUGGUUGACUAACUCAUAAAUUACUCAUUUUCAAUGACUCACGACAUUGAAAAGGACAUAUCUCAUCUCAUUUGAUAAAUGCGAAUUAAAUCCUUCUCAAAGUUGUCAUUGCAGAGGAAUGAAUAAUUAGUGAGUUAAUCAACAAUUUCACGCAUACAACUAAACUAAAAGAAAAUCAAUGUUAUCAUUUAAUAUAUCAUCCUAAAGAAGAAGUAUCUACAAGUACUUUGGUUUGGUCCAUGUUUUGAUGUGAGAAAACUCAUUAAUGUUUUGAUGUACAUUCAAUGUCUCACCAUGAGCUCCAAAAUAUGCCUAAUUACUUGUAACAAUCACAAUUGAUAAAGCAAUUUUUUCGCAAAAGAUGUCAUAAGUGUAAUUUAAAACAUAACCCAAUAAUAAUUUACAAUAGCUAUAAUUUAUUAUCAUGAUAAUGAAUUGAUCAUUAAAACCUUAUCAAAUAAUAAUUUAUAAUUAUUAUCAUUCAUUAUCAAAUAUUGAUUCGUAAUUUUAUUUAGUAAUUAUUUGUAAUAGAUAUCAUUAUUAUGAAUUGGUAAAUGUAUGUACUAUUUAUAGUGUUUUAAAGUUUAAAGUUAAAGUUAACAUAGAUAAUGCCGACAAUAAAUUCAGUGUUGUUGACGAUGACUUAUGAACUAAUAAAAAUUCAAACAUUAAACUACUUGAUUGGUUAAUGAACACUUACCAACAUGAAUGAGACAGAGUAUUGAUUAGAAUUAAAAAAGAAUAAACAAUAAAGAGAUGAUACUUGAUGAUAAAGACUUAAAAUAAUAUCUCUUAUGAACUUGAGAAACUCAUAAGUAAAUAAAAUUUUCUUCUCAAAACUUCCUAUUUUCAAAUAUGUAGCCUAGAAUUAGCUCAUAUUUAAAAAAAUGCCUAAUUAAUAAUCUUGAUUGUUAUUUCUGUAAUCUCAACCAUCCAAUUUUAUAAAAUAAAAUCCAACAGUUAUUAAAAAGGAUAAAAUUGACAUUUCCAAUUAAAAAAAGAUAAGUUCGUGGGUGAACCUCACUUAUUUAGUGGUUCACCAUAGAACUCUAUGAAUUAAAUAAAAAUGAAAAAAAAAAUUAAAAGUUUCACUCUUCAAAUUAAAUGCACCCUGGUUAAAUCAUUAUCACAAUGAACACUGACUAACAUGUGUACCUCUUACGUGGUAUGCAUGGUGUGAAAAAAAAGUUUUAAAAGGAUUGCAACAUGUGUAUCCCCUCUUUAAGGGGUAACUUUUUAUUUUACUUUAUUGUUAAACUAAAAGUAUAUGUCAGAUCAGUUUUCUUGUCAAAUUUUGUAAAUUGUUGAAUUAACUUUUGAUAAAUGUUAUGACAUUUAAUCUAUUUUGUUCUAAUGCUUGAAAUUAAUCUUAAACAACACCUUAGUCAUCAUUUAUGUGACAAGAUCAUGUUAGAAAUUGAAAUGUUGAUAGGAUGACUUUCUAUAAAAAAAAUUACAUUCAACAUUAGUUCUGAUAAAAUUGAUUUUAAUUAGAAAGUAACUUUUUUUAAAAAUUGACAUAUUCUACAUUAUUUUUAACUAGAACUACGGUAGAAAAUACAUUUAUAAUAUUAAUUUUGUUCAAAUAGAUAUUAUAAAAUAUUAAUUUGAAAACCAAUGUUAAUUUUUUUUUAACGGAUGAUGUUAAAAGUGUUUUAAGUGAGAUGAUUUGGCUGAAGGCAGUAGAUGUGUGGUUCCACGACGCUAGAUCUGUGGUUGGCAGCGCCAAAUCUGCUGCCAGUGACCUCUUAGCUGACCACGAUCUUCUGUUAAAUCUGUUAUGAUGAAUGCCAGGUGCCUUACAUGCAACUUACGUGCAAGCCUUUACACGACAAAUAUGCAUAGGAAUGGGUUAUUUUAAAAAAAUUAUAGGAAUGGGUAGACUUGAAAAAACAAAAGACUUCAUAAAGAGAAGUCCUUUUUAAAAAAAAUAUAUAAUUUUCGAACAUUGUAAUUUUUUUAAAAAAAUACAAAUUCUAUUUUGGAUCAUAAUUUUAGUAUUUUUAUAAUGUAAAAUAUUUAAAGUGGUGAUCCAAAAAAUAAUUUCAAUAUUUUUUUAAUAUAAAAUGUUUGAAAUUUUAUUUAAAAUAUGACUUUUUUCCUAUAUAAGUGUUUAUUAAAUAUUUUCCUAUAUAAUUACAAACUAGUUACUGAAAGGAAAAAUUUACGAUCCCAUGCACUCCAAAGGCAAAAUCUUCUCAAAUUUGGGAACCCUGGGAUUUUCAAAAUUGAUUUUUGGACAUUUAAAAAUAUAUUGGAUGUACGCCGAGAUAUAAAAAAGACAAAAAUAUAAUAAUAAUAAUAAUCAUAUUAUUAUUAUUAUUAUUAUUAUUGUUAUUAUUAUUAUUAUGAAUGAUACCAAAAAGGAAUUAAAAAAAUAUAAGUAUUAAUAAAAUAUUUUCCUAUUAAAAAGUAGACAUCUAAUAAUAAAACUAUCAUUCCUAUUAAUACUUCUCUCACUUUAUUUUUCUUGUUUAUCAUUAUAAUAUCUCCUUCAAUUAGAAAUAUUUUAAUCUAAAAAAAAUUAGUACAAAUGAUAUUAUAAAUUGAAUUUUAUAUAUAUAAAUAUUAAAUAUUGCUUAUAAUCUGAGUCUUAUAAAUAAAAUGGAAGAAAAUGUCCUGUUAUAUUAUAAUAGUAUUAAUUAUAGCAAUAAUGAUAUAUAUAUAUAUAUAUAUAUAUAUAUAUAUAUAUAUUUGUAUGCAUGUAAAUUAACGACCUAGCAAUUGUUUGGUGCCACAAGUGUUUGCAAGAAGCUGACAGUGAUACGUACGUGUCCCUGUUGCUACAUGCAUGUUCCCUAAUCCUAUGAAUCACGACAAGGAGUAACUUGAAUAGAGAUUUAAGUUUAAUGUAAUGACAAACUUCAACAUUUAUAUAUCUUGAUUUUCGUACAAUCAUAUUGCUUUUUUUAAUCAUAUAUCGUAUUGAAGAAAAAGAAAUACUCAUAAACAGCGCCUAUAAAUUGCUACAUGCAUGCAAGAAGGAACAGGCAGUGCAAAACUCACAACACAUCUAAACAAAAAAUCAAGAACAAUGGCUUAUGCUAGGCUUGCUCCUAUGGCUGUCUUCUUGCUUGCCACUUCCACCAGUACGUAACCUUCCAAUUUUUCUUCUUUUUUUCUUUUCUUCAUGAUUUCUAAUUAUAUAUUUUAGAACUAUGAGAAAUUUUACUACCUCUUUCCCAAAUCUUUUAAUGUUUUAGCUUCUUUUUUUUUUUUUCAAAACAUUUAAUGUUUUAGAAUUUAAAGUCUAAUUAAUGCAUUUUUUCAAAUAUACUCUUAGUUAAUACUUAAUACUUGUAAUGUAAAUAUCGAAGUAUAUAAUAAAUGUUAGUUCAAUUUAAUAUUUCUUGUAAUAACGUUAAAGAACAUUAAGAGAUAUGGGAAGGAAGUAGUACUUAAAUGCUCUCAAAAUUUAUAUGUGUAUUAAUUUAUUCUAACUUUGACAUAUCGUUUUUAGUAAUGUUCCCAACGAAGAUAGAAGCAGCAGAUUGUAAUGGUGCAUGUUCACCUUUCGAGAUGCCACCGUGCCGCUCACGUGAUUGUCGUUGUGUCCCUAUAGGACUAGUUGCUGGUUUCUGCAUACAUCCAACUGGACUUUCAUCUGUUGCGAAGAUGAUCGACGAACAUCCCAACUUAUGUCAAUCUGAUGAUGAAUGCAUGAAGAAAGGAAGUGGCAAUUUUUGCGCUCGUUACCCUAAUAAUUAUAUCGAUUAUGGAUGGUGUUUUGAUUCUGAUUCUGAAGCACUGAAAGGCUUCUUGGCCAUGCCUAGGGCAACCACCAAGUAAUAUGGUGGGUAUGCCAAAGUGGGCAUGCUUGAUGCAUCUUCUACUACUUAAAAAUAAAAGCUUAUGAUGCAUCUACUGCUUUAAACAAAAGAGUGCUCCACUACGCAACUUUUGUUUCCAACUUAUAGUUGGUUACGUUUUAUGUAAACUCAACCCAUGUAUGUUUUGGAGCAUUCCAGUUAAUAAAAAAUGUUUCUAUACAUAUGUCUGUUGUUUAAAAAAAUUAUUAAGAAAAGAGUAAGACAAUAGUUAUCAACUGACAUAAAGAAAAAAAAAUGGUUCAUUGGUGGAUCAAUUUUAUAAUCUUAUAAUAUUAUAAUAAGCGAGUAUUUAAAUUAGGACUAAACCUUAGCGUAUGAUCAAGAAAUCCAACAGAAUCAAGAAUCUUAACUAAAUUCUGGCAAUUAUCAAUUCAGUCAGAUUCGGGGAACAAGAUACAUCAGUCAAGUAUGUCUUAUGUACUUAGAACAUGUUUAGGUAAACUGUUUUUGAAGUAUUUUUAAGUGAAGAAAAUAAAAAAAAAUAAAAGGAAUUUUUUAAUAAGUUAAAACAUAACUCAAUAAUAAUUUAUAAUAUCCAUAAUUUAUUAUCAUCAUAAUGAAUUGAUUGCAAAAAUCUUAUCAAAUAAUAUUUUGUAAUUAUUAUCAUUCGUUGUCUGAUAAUAAGUUGAAAUCUUAUCUAGUAAUUAUUUGUAAGAGAUGUGAAUAACCAAUUUUACCUAAAAGAAUAUUUUAAUUUUUUAAAAAUAUUAAAUAAAUAUAAAAAUAAAAGGUGGUUACAAGAGGAAAUCUUGUCAUCAAAAAAUAUUUUUGGUUACAAGAGAGAAGAUUGCUUAGAAGAUAAUGGAGGAUGAGUGAAAUUAUGUGGUUACAACAAAAGCAUAAAAGAGGUAUAUAAAAACAACACUUAUAUGAUAAGAAAAAAAUACUUUGAUUAGCGGACUUGUGCAAACCUGUUACACCUUGACAAAAUUAAAAACACUCUAGACAAGUGAAAAGUCAUCUCCAUAAAUUUUACAUUGUUUCAUUUUUUUUAUCCUUUCUCUUUUGUAAUAUAUAGAAAUAGAAAUUUGUAUGACAUUUGUUCAUGAAUGUAACAUAUACACUUCUCUCACUCUCUCUUUAUAUUUUUCUUUAUUUUUAUCAAGUCCGCGUUUCCAUAAUUGAAGUUUUGUAUCCAACAUCCAUUUUUUUCCAACUCAUUUUUUUCCGUUACGUAGUGGGUGUAAUGCGGUGCUAUUUGUUUUUGUAGAUAUGAGUAACAAAUAAGAUAUUAGGAAGAUUAGUUUUGAUUUUAAGUUUUUGUCUCUUUUAUUCUUUUUUUAAUAUUUAUUUCAUUUUGUGCUUUGAUAUGUGUAUGAGGUGGUGCUUAUCCCGGACCUCAAUGUUUAAGAGUUAUGAUUUGGUUUCUAGUUUGUUUAUUUAUGAAUAAAAAAAGAUCAAAAUUGUACAUCAUUUUAUUGGACUUGUUUAUUCAAGUCAAAGAAGUUAAGCCAAUUAACAUUGACAUAAAUGAUAUAUGAGAAUUCAAUGAAUUGGGAACAUGUGUUACAUAAUAAAAUUUAUAUAAAUGUUUUGAGAUAUAAAACACAUGUCAUAUAUAUGAUUUAUUCAUAUAACAAUCAAUGUAUAUUGAUGUUCUCCUUUUAGUGAUACACCAACACACAACAUACAAAUAUGAUGAUGCUAAUAAAAAUUCUUAACAUUAUUUAAUAAUUAAAUAUGCACCAAUUAGUAGUAUCUAUGUCAUUUGAGUAUAUAUAUAAAACUAAUGAUAUACAUAAAUCGCCUAUAAUUAUAUUCAUUAAUUAUAAAAACAACUAAUUAACCUUUGGACGAUCCAUAAAUAUCUUAUAACAAUGAAUUUCAAUGUAUCUAUAAAUCAAUAAUCAUAUAAUUUAACAUCCAUUAUUCUAUGAGUAAUUAAAAUAAUCACUAAUUUGGAAUUAAAUAAUCUUACAAAUUUGGCAAUUAACAAAUUCAUCAUACAUUUAAUUUCAACCAAAUAUAUAUGGUCUGCACAUAAUUAUUGCUAUUAAUAAUUCAUAACCAUUUUAUUAAUUUCAUUCCAGACUAUAAAAUAAUAUUCAUAUUUUUUUGUGUUUUGCAUUCAAACACGUUCAAGAAAAUAUGAAGCAUAUACAUGUUUAAUGCUACUGAUAAUUUCAAAGCAUUCAUAUGUUAAUUUAAUUGCAGGAUAUAAACUUUCAAUUUUUUAAUCACGUUUAAUAAUGAUAUUUGGAAAAAAUUAAGGAAGUGGAAUUGAGAAUAGGAAACAUUGGGUUGCAAAUAGUAAUUCCAAAGAAUUCCAUAUACGCUCUAACCGUGCAGCAGCACUUUCUUUCUCCCCGUUCAAAACAAUUCGUGCACUUUCAUUCCAAAUAAAUGCUUAACGUGCGUACAUGGGACGGCAGCAAAAAUGUUUGUAUUUGUGGUGUAAUGAAAGCAAACAAUACAAAAUUGACUUCUUUUUUAAUAUAAAAUUUGAUAGCAGUGGAAAAAAAUUUAUAAAUUUUGUAAUUAGAGUUCAUGCAUAAAUGAGAGAAAUUAAAUAAUUUUUGAAGAAUCAUAAAUUUUAUAACAUAUUAAGUGAUUUUUUAGAUUAUCAAUUAUAGGAAUUAUCAAGAAAAUUAACAAGAUCUUAAAAUUUAUGAUUCUCAUAAAUAAUAAAUAAACCAAUAGUGUAUAUCUUUUUUUUUUAUAGUGAGACUUCUUUCCAGUGUGUUUUGAUUCUCUUGACAAAUGAAAGAAAUAAUAUUUAACUUUCUUAAUUAUUCUUUUUUGUUUCUCUUUAGAUUUGUGAGGAUUACUACUUUGUCAAGAAAUGAAACCUUAUUUCACUUUAAGGUUCCUUUUAUAACCAUUAACAUGAAAUCAGAGUUCCUUUAUAAUCACUAUUCUCAUCAAGUGAGAAAAUUUUCAUAUUUAAUAUAAUUACAAUUUAAUUCUUAAUUCUUAAUUAUUUAUUUAUUAAUCCUUACACGUAAGUCAUGUUUUUCGCAUGAAAUAUUAAUUCUAACAUCUCAUCGAGUGACACAUUUAUGCAUAAUGCUUUGCUAAUAAAUUUCAUGUAACAUUCAAAAUUGAGAAAGAUUGCUAAGAAUUCAGAAAUUAAGCAUACAUACUGGUCGAAUUUGGUGAUAAAGGAGUUGAACAGAAAUGGAGAUAGUUUUAAGAUAUAUCAUCCUGUACAGUAUUGUCAUCAAGCCACAAUCUACUGCACUUACUAGGCUCAAAUAUUGAUUCUUGCCUUACAAUUUCCCUGUCCAUGUCCUGAAUUAAGUCAUGCAUGUUCACACAACCAGAAUUAUCGAUCUUUAUGAGAGAUUUGUCAGCCAACACUCUAAUACCAUUUUCUGCAUGAAAACCAUGAGCAUGUAGCAUUUGUUGGACAAAUCCUAUAUUUUAAGUAUUGAAAAAACAAGCAAUGUCAAAGAAAAUUCCCUUUUCAUCUUCUUCCAAACCAUCAUAGCUCACUUUAAGUUUAUCAUGGAUCUUUUAAUUUUAUGAGAAAUUCUUUCAUAUUUAUCUAGUGCAGAGUUACAUUCACAUAAACUUUUCCGAAAUAAGGGAGAACCUACCACUUUCAAAGCCAAUGGAAGGCCACGAGCAUAAAAAAACUGCACGGUUUAAAAUAUGAAAAUAACGUGGAUCAACUUUUUUUUCUCUUGAAGGCAUGCCAGCUAAACAAUUCAAAAGCUUUUUCAUCACUUAACAGUUUAACCUCAUGUAAUUUUACAGCCCCACGAGUGGCUAGCAAUUGUUUUCUCCAGCAAGUGCCUUUAACUGCACCCAUUUGUCAGCAUCAUAAAAAAUCAAAAGAACCUUCUUCUGUUGAAACCUCCAUUUUAUGGUCAGGAUUCGUCCAUUGGCAUCUCCCGCUUUCUUUCCCUCUUUCCAAGUAUAUAUGAGAAAAAUAGUAUUUCUUGUAACAUCUUAUUUUUUCAUAAAUUAAAAAUUAAUUUAUUUAAAAUAAAUAAAAUUUUAGGAAAAUAAUGAAUCUUUUGUAAUUAAAUAAAUAAGAAAAAUAAUUUUAUUAAUUAAAAUAAUAAUUUUUAGGUAAAUAAAAUAAAUAUAUAUAUUUUUUAAAAAUAUAUUUUAUUUAUUCACUUGACAGGAAGUAAAAUACAUUUAACACUCAAACAUAUCCAAGUAAAAUUAUGAUCUCAAACUUGUCAAUCAUUGAAUCGUCAUGCAAUUUGGAUACCACUUUUGGAAUCCAUUUUCGCACAUUUUUACUAUUGAAAUUUGUGCAAUAAUAUUUUUGCAGAGAGAAAUUAGUCUCUCACAAUUACAGUGAAAUGAAGGCUACAAUCUUUAAUUUUCCUCUCUAAUGCUUGAAAAUCUUAACAGAGCAAAUAAAAGAAAAACUUGAGGAAUCUUAGGGAAUUGUUAGAGACACUGCCAUCACUGCCCAAACUAUACACGUGAGUUCUCUUAGAGGUAAGAGAUGAAUUUAUUGCAAUUGAGGUUAGAAUAAACAUGUGUAGAGACCCUUAGGAGAUCAAAUUGAGGUUCAUUUUCAAAUGCUUAUUGUGUUUUAAUUCUUCAUGUAUGAUUAUAAUUGCGAUAUUGUUAUAUUGAGAUCAUGAAAUCGUGAUUGAAAUUGGGUGUAAGUGAUAAAUUGAAUAUGUGAUGAAUUGUGAGAUAACAUGUUGCAUUGAGAUCAUAAUAUUGUUAUUGAGAUUGAGUAUAAGUGAACAGUUGAACAUGUGUUAAUUUGUGAGAUACACGUAAACAUGUGACGGUGAAUUGUGACACUAUGAGAUUUUGUUGUGAAUAAGUGUGUGAUUAACACUUGAUGUGAUAAUACUUGUGUUGUGAGCUGCGAAUUAUACAAUAACUAGACUGAUGUUUACUUUGAAAAAAAUGUUUAUGCGCAGUGUUAAAGGAAAAGUGUAAGAUUCUUAGUUAGAAACCUAAAGUGUUAAAUUAUAGCGCAAUGUGUUUAACAUGUUUGAAACACGAGUGUGAGGUCGUGGGUAUUGUAUAAUUCAUGAGCAGUGUCUGUAUGCAAAAAAAAUUAUUUUAGGGGUUGUACCUGAAUCAGGAAGGUGAAGCCCUAACGGAUUCUCCGGAGUCUAGGCAAAACAUUGAGUUUGAGUGCUCCUUUAAGUCUAUGUUGAUUUCAUAUGGUUGGAGCAUUCUUGCAAAACAGAGUGACCCUAACUGGUCACCUUAUGAUUUUAUUUAGUGAAAGCGACCUAGAAUACUUAUUGUGUGGUGUGUUUUAUUAUGUAUUCCUAAGCGCCUCAAUGUGGUUUUUUAGUGACAUGGUACCACAUUGCAUAUAAGCUUAAGUUUUAGUAUAAUUGUUGCAUGACGUAUGUAAAUUGUUUAUUAUGAAAUUGAUGAAUAUUAUUAUGUGUACAUUAACCCGAGUGUGUGAUUCAUGUGUAAUGUGAUUGGUAAUUGAAAAAUUAAUUUUAAAUGAUAAAGUGGUGAAGGGACGUGGAUUGUAUUAAGUUGAGUUAUAUUAUAAAUACUUCCAUAAUUUAUUUUGAUUACGUCUUUGUUUAUUUGUAUUUUUUUAAAAAUGUGAUAACUCACUUAUUGUGUGCUAUUUGUGUUUGGAUCAUGUGAUGAUCUUGAACCUUGUGUUCGUGGGAGCAGAUGACAAAGUGGAUAACUUUAAAGAACCGUGCUAGAGGACGCUCUGAUAGGAUGUAACAUUGGAGGAUGAAUUUUUAUUUUAAUUGUAUAAUAUUAUUUUAUUUUAUUUUAUUUUACCUCUUUGAUUUAAUAAAAUUUCUCUUGUAAAAUAUGACAGUCUUGUUCUGAGUCGGAUUUACUUUUAAUAAAUUUUAUUUAAUAAUAAUGAAGUGAAUGUAAAUUUUUUAUCCACGUAAAUUUUUUUACCUUUAUUUUUAUAUGUUUUUUUAGUUAUACAUACAUUGAGGUAGCGGGUGUCACAAUUCUUGGAGUUGUAAAAGACCAUCUUAAUUGCUUUUUCUCUACUGUCAACAUAAAAACACAAACCUUCAAAUUGAUUAGAAAUCUUGUUAUACACCGCACAAGAAAUUAUGGUUUUACCUAUUCCUCCAAUACCAUAAAUACCAACCAUGUUGACCUCGGACCCAAAUC
rnacentral:lncRNA from 1 species